rnacentral:rRNA from 1 species
AAUCAACGUUGGCGGCGUGCCUCAGACAUGCAAGUCGAACGCGAAAGUUUCCUUCGGGGGGACAAGUAGAGUGGCGCACGGGUGAGUAACACGUAGGUAAUCUACCUUUGGAUGGGGAAUAACAACCGGAAACGGUUGCUAAUACCGCAUAAUGCAGCGGCACCUAAUGGUGACAGUUGUUAAAGCGGGGGAUCGAAAGACCUCGCGUCUGAAGAGGAGCCUGCGGCGGAUUAGCUAGUUGGAAGGUAAUGGCUUACCAAGGCUACGAUCCGUAACCGGCCUGAGAGGGCGGUCGGUCACACUGACACUGACAUACGGGUCAGACUCCUACGGGAGGCAGCAGUCGGGAAUUUUGGGCAAUGGGCGAAAGCCUGACCCAGCAACGCCGCGUGAAGGAU